rnacentral:rRNA from 1 species
UACGAAGGGGGCUAGCGUUGCUCGGAAUCACUGGGCGUAAAGCGUACGUAGGCGGGUUUUUAAGUCGGGGGUGAAAUCCUGGAGCUCAACUCCAGAACUGCCUUUGAUACUGAAGAUCUUGAGUCCGGGAGAGGUGAGUGGAACUGCGAGUGUAGAGGUGAAAUUCGUAGAUAUUCGCAAGAACACCAGUGGCGAAGGCGGCUCACUGGCCCGUUACUGACGCUGAGGCACGAAAGCGUGGGGAGCAAACAGG